rnacentral:rRNA from 1 species
AGUGAACGCUGGCGGUAGGCCUAACACAUGCAAGUCGAACGGCAGCACAGUAAGAGCUUGCUCUUACGGGUGGCGAGUGGCGGACGGGUGAGGAAUAAAUCGGAAUCUACUUUUUCGUGGGGGAUAACGUAGGGAAACUUACGCUAAUACCGCAUACGACCUACGGGUGAAAGCAGGGGAUCUUCUGACCUUGCGCGAUUGAAUGAGCCGAUGUCGGAUUAGCUAGUUGGCGGGGUAAAGGCCCACCAAGGCGACGAUCCGUAGCUGGUCUGAGAGGAUGAUCAGCCACACUGGAACUGAGACACGGUCCAGACUCCUACGGGAGGCAGCAGUGGGGAAUAUUGGACAAUGGGCGCAAGCCUGAUCCAGCCAUACCGCGUGGGUGAAGAAGGCCUUCGGGUUGUAAAGCCCUUUUGUUGGGAAAGAAAAGCAGCAGGUUAAUACCCCGCUGUUCUGACGGUACCCAAAGAAUAAGCACCGGCUAACUUCGUG